AAGGAAUGGAGAUCUUCAUUCCAAUUGGUCAAAGGCCAUAUCCAAUGGACUUCAAAGAGGCUGCCCGUAGCCUUAUUAGAGAAUUUUCGAAGUUAUUCGAGUUUUAGAGGCUAGGGUCAUCAAGUUUAGGUUUUAAGAUACAAAUUGAGUACAAAAUUUGUAUGAUUUGGAUUUUUUAUGAAGAAGUUAUUGGCGCUCAAAGUUAAGGUAUUAAAUUCAUACCUAUUGUCACUCUUUGGGGCAUAACAUAUGUUUACAGAUAGAAACAAAGAAUCGGUGAUUAUGGUUGGAGAAAGAACUUUUUUGACCAUACUUUUUAUAUAUUUUUUGAUGAUUUUGGAUUUUGAAUGAAGAAGUUAUAGAGGUUUGAAGUCAAUGCAUCUAAAUCAAAGGCAGGAAGUAAGUGAUUUUGUUCAUAGUAAUGGUUGGAGCCAUAUUUUAAGUUUCUGGACGAAUUUUUGGCUCGACCUUUUGGAGAAGAUAGAUAAUUGUGUUAAAAAAUUAUAUAUAUAAACUUUGUAGUAUUUAGGUGUUUAAAUUUUGAGAUAAGAUGAAACUUGCAAGUGGGUGUAUAAAAAUUAGGGGUUGAAGCUACUAUUAGGAUUUUGGUGAUAUCUUAAGUUCUGCGAUGAAUUUGCAAUUGAAAUUUGUUUUGGAAGUUGAUAAGAAUAAGUCAAUACUUCAUAUAAAAUUUGAAUAAGUUUUAAUGGUCAGAUCAGGAGAUAUGAGGUAUUGAAGUUUGAGAAUUUUUUUACGUAAGAGUAUAUACGGUUUUAGAUGAUUUUAUCAUAUUUUGGAUGUUAUUGGUUAUUUAAGGCUUAUGUAUUUAGUAUAAUUGCUCCAAAAAAGGAAAUUUUAUAUAUAAAAUUUCCUUAUUUUGAAGCUUGAUUGAGGAAUUAGUGACAGCUAGGAGCCGAGUGCUUUCUAGAGGCAACACUUUUUACUCUGACACAGGAGGAUGCAUAGAUUCAAGAGAGAGGUGGAUGUCAUGAUGUAACAUGGCUAGUAGGUAAAAGAGUGUAGAAAUUAUUAUAUUAUAGAAUUUCUUAGUUUAAAAUACUAUAAAAAAUUAUCUUAAAAAUAUAGAUAAUAGUCAAAAAGAUAGUAAAAUUAAAAAAUACUAAUAUUUCUUUUUACAAAA
rnacentral:lncRNA from 1 species